GCGACACUAGCUCAGUUGGUAGAGCGCAACCUUGCCAAGGUUGAGGUCACGAAUUCGAACCUCGUGUGUCGCUCCA
rnacentral:tRNA from 1 species